AAGUGUUAAUCAUGUAAGAAUAAAACACAUCAUUUCUUCUUUUUUCCAGACAAAUGUUAUGUUAUGAUAGGAGAGUCCCAUUAGAUGAAAUGUGUAGCAGAAUUCAAUCCCUUACUGGUGAUGAUGUGAGACAGAUUUGUUACAAAUAUAUCUAUGAUAAAUGUCCAGUAGUUGCAGCUAUAGGACCAAUUGGUGGAUUGAUGGAUUACAACAGGUUACGAGCAUCUAUGUACUGGUUAAGAAAAUAAACAAUUAUUUAUUACAAUUAAGACUGUUACUGUAGGUGUAAAACCUAUGACUUUAUAUACAUGAUCACACCAUGCCAGAUAUGAUGACAGCCUAGGAAAUGUUACGCUCUUAUAUCAAGAUUGGACACCACAAAUUGGAAUUAUUUAAUUGUGAUAGAUUGAGUAUUUUUUAUGUGUAUUUGUUUUUCGUUUUUGCGUUGGCAUGGUAGAUUUUUAAAUAUUAAAAAUUGCCAGAAAACUGAAA